rnacentral:sRNA from 1 species
UUGAACAAGUAGGAGCACCCGCUUCUCGCCAAGUGAUUAAGUUGCUUGGCAGAUACAGUUAUCCGAAUGGAUCGCAAGUGUUGAAGUGGGUAAAGAUUAGGUUCUUUAUCCACUUUUCUUCUUGAUU